rnacentral:rRNA from 1 species
GACGAACGCUGGCGGCGUGCCUAAUACAUGCAAGUAGAACGCAGUUGCGAACGGGUGAGUAACGCGUAGGUAACCUGCCUCCUAGCGGGGGAUAACGAUUGGAAACGAUAGCUAAUACCGCAUACUGUGAGAUGGACCUGCGUUGUAUUAGCUAGUUGGUGGGGUAAAGGCUCACCAAGGCGACGAUACAUAGCCGACCUGAGUGGGUGAGCGGCCACACUGGGACUGAGACACGGCCCAGACUCCUGCGGGAGGCAGCAGUAGGGAAUGUUCGGCAAUGGACGGAAGUCUGACCGCGCAACGCCGCGGUAAUUC